rnacentral:sRNA from 1 species
UAUUCUGCCCUACGGGGAAGGAUGAGAAGCUUCGACUAAGGUUCGACUCGAGCGUCAGCGAGAGAACGUUGCCGCAGGCAACGGCCCGAAGGGCGAGGCGCUUUAGCGCCGAGUAAUCCUUCCCCCACCA